ensembl:lncRNA
GGGGGAGACACGGGGCCGAGGAGGAGGAGGAACCGCCGAGGCAGAGUUUAGGACAGUAGGUAGCCUUCACAGCAAGCAGCAGCGGCCGCAUCGUUUCAACGACAGGACUAUUCUUCAAGAAGAAACUAGGCUAAAUGUUAAUUCAUAUAUUUUACAAUGGACCUACUACAAUAUGAACACUUCCUCCAGUAGUGCAGCUAUAAUGGUUUUAUUAAAUACAAAUCCAACUGGUCGACGGGACAGAAAGGGAUUCGUCUAUCAAGACAGCAAUUGUCUCUCUACACUCCGGCAAAGGCAUCCAGGCAGCCAACGUUAAGAGGGACAGCAUCGGACUGGAGUAAACCACAUCAUGUCUACCAGCUUACUCAGUCAGCCUCAACGCAAGAGGGCCAGCUUCUUCAAGGUUACACUCAAAAAUACAUGGUCACGUGGCAUCUUUCCCAGAAGUAAGUUGAAAAAUGGAAAGGAGGGACCCAACACAAACGAGAGCGGAACACAUCAGUGAAUAGAGGGUAGGGAGGGAAGAACUGGAGUCAGGCUUGGGUGUCAGUUUAGCGUUCUGGAAUUGUUUCUUGUUGUUCUUUGUUUCUUUUUGUCUUUAUUCCAGGUGGUGGGAGGUGGAGAUGGAGCCUUGAACAGAUAAUUAAUUCCAACAAAAGAUAUUAUAAUGGCAGCCUUUUAAAUGCCCAUUAAGUGCCUUUCAUGGGCUUGUCC